AUCCCCGUGAGAAUGCCCUGUAGUUCCCUACCCGAGAACAAGGAGCUGGUAUCAGGCACAUCCAAUCUAGCCCACGACACCUUGCUAAGCCACACCCUCAAGGGUACUCAGCAGUGAUAAACAUUGAUAUACAUAUAAGUGUAAACUUGACUCAGCCAAAGCUAAAACAGGGCCGGUAAAACUCGUGCCAGCCACCGCGGUUAUACGGGAGGCCCAAGUUGCUAGGAGUCGGCGUAAAGGGUGGUUAAGAACAAAACUAAAAUUAAAGUCGAACAUCUUCCGAGCUGUUAUACGCAUCCGAAGGUAAGAAGCUCAAAUGCGAAAGUAGCUUUAUAUCUUCUGAAUCCACGAAAGCUGAGAUACAAACUGGGAUUAGAUACCCCACUAUGCUUAGCCAUAAACAUUGACAGUUUAUUACAUUUUCUGUCCGCCUGGGUACUACAAGCAUUAGCUCAAAAC
rnacentral:rRNA from 1 species